rnacentral:sRNA from 1 species
ACUAGCAUUACCUAUUUGCAUGUA